AUCCUGCAUUGUUGUGGCUGUGGUGUAGGCCAGCAGCUACAGCUCCAAUUUGACCCCUAACGUGGGAACCUCCAUAUGCCGCAGGUGCAGCCCUAAAAAGAAAAAAAAAAAAGCUUAAAGAUGUAUGAGAGAAAUCAUUAUCUUAGCACUGGUAUCUAGUAAACAGACUGGCAAAUUGUAUAUUCUCAAUAAAUCUUUAAAGGAUUCAAUAUUAACCAACUAAGUGUUAAAAUUAGCAAUAGUGUACUUUAGCAUCGAUAGGUUGUCUUUUCUAAUUGUCAGUAGUUCAAGGAGAAUGAUUUUCAAGCCAGAGGUAUUAAAAGACACCUCAGGAGAACAUUAAAACACAGACUCUCAGGCCCUGCCACCAAGUUUCUGAUUCAGUGAGUCUGUAGUUUCACGUUUGAUUUUGGUUUGGGGGGUUCAGAAAGUACUUAGAGAAGUAGCACUUGAGCGCCGUCAGAUUCAGAAAUGGUGCUGAUGGUGAGAAAAACCAAAGAUUCCUCUACAUGAUUUAGUCGGCAGAGGGGAAGGGAAAGAAGGCCAGUGGAAUGAAGCUGAAUAACAGAAGAAAAGUCCGACAAAGGUUGAUCCUGGCCUCAUUAAGCAUUAUAUUAAAGCUAGAUGCUUUAAAAAAUAAAAAUAAAUGUUCGAUCAUUUGCUGUAGUAAAAAGCAACACUUUACAGCAUACAGUUUUUUUCACUCUUUACAUGGAUUCCUUUACUAAUUAAAACCAUUUGGAAAUAGGGAGAAAAGGUUAAUAUUGGGUCUGUUUUCUUGUGGAUUUAUUUUUUUAAAGAGCUUUGCAUUAAAAUUUUGUAGCAUCAUAGAAUGAUAAUGUAAUGUAAUUUAGCUUAAUAUCUAUUUUAUGUUAGAUGACAGUUUGAUUAAGCAGAACCAAUAAUCAUCGUUAUUCAGAGUCAUAACGACCCAUUAUAAAUGGUCUCAUUUUCCCUAAUUUUAAUUUUACCUCUUACAGUUUGUCUUUCUGGAAUUACUAAAAUGGUUACACUUGAUUUCUUUUAUAAAUAUAAUUUUAACAAUCUAACUAUAGCAACAUAAGUCUUCAAGUAGUUAAGUACCACUGUUCCGUAUAUUUAAUACAAAACUAUUUUAGUGUCUUGGUUUCUCUUAAUUAAACUUUCAGACAAGCAAAUUUCAGGAAAUUAAAUUACCAUCCUCUAUGUAUUGGAGCUUUAAAUUGAGAUAAAUAGCCUUUUCUUUCUGGCAUGCCACCUUUCUGACCCCUGUAUGUCUUAGGGCAGGGAUUAGUAGUCAGUUUAGUCAGGAGUGGGACUGGUCUCCAGCAGCCUCCAGAGUAACUGGAUUUACAAUCCCCUCUUUAACAGUAUUAACAAAGCAGAGUGGUUUUAUGUUUAUCAGGCAUUUUAGCUUAAAGAGAAUAAAUUUAGGCAACAAUCAGAUUUUUUUCUGUGCCAACAAUUGCACCAAAAAAAGAGGAUGUAGAUAGUUGACCGAAUGAAAUUAUUUAGGUCAUAGAUACUCCAGAGCAGAGAGGACAUUAGAAGUUCCCCAAUUUUAAGACUGUUUUAAAUAACAUCUACCCAAUGUUUUGUGGUUUACAGAGCCUUCCCACUUGCAUCCUUUCACACAAUUUCUCCCAGAGAAAUAGCACUAUUACUCUAAAUUUACGUCGAGGAUACUAAAUGUCAGAGAAACUGACUCACACCCAAGCCGGCUACCUAGUUCUAGGGAAGGCAAAACUUGUGCUCUUUCCUCAACAUCAGAGUCUUGGCAGUCAGAGCACAUCCCAAGGCCUCUGGAUGCCUGGGAACAGAGGCAAAAGGUCAAAGAAGUUCAAAAAAUAGAGAGCGAAGGUCACCUCAGAUACAAACUUUACCAGCUUUAUAUCAUUGUCCAGAGACCAGCAUGCAACAAUUGCUUAGAAUUCAAGGAAAGUCAACUCCUUUCAGCUUCUGUCACAGGCGCUAUAGGUGGCUCCUGUUGCUUUUGAGUAAUAAUUCUAUUUCAUCUAUACAUGAUUAAAUAUAACUUUCUUCUGUAAAAUUUGUGCCCGUGUGAACUAAAGAUGUAUUUCCAAGCGUUCAGGAGUACUCUGAAGACAUCGGAUCCAUUCAUGGGUGUAAAUGUGGGCUAACCUAUGACGCUAUUUAUGUAAUUUGGUUUUUACUUUAUAUUAUGUAUGUUUUCAAAGUAGACGGUGACUGUUGUCAUUGCGUUACACACUGGGUUCACAGGGAGAAAGACACAGUCUCUGACCUGACGCAGCUCAUACUCUGGUCAGGGAGAAAGCAUUCAACACAACAUGGUAAGUAAUGGAGGAGAAUUCACAGGAGGUUGUGGGAGUGCAAAGGAGGAAUCUUUCCACGACCCUUCUAAUUAUUUUUGAAAUUAUUGUUUUGCUGUAAUUCACUUACAUACACACAUAUUAAUUAUUUGAAAACUUGCACCCAUGUAUAUGUGUAAGUAGUAGUAGCUUUACUCUUUCUCAGUUGCUAUCUAAUCCGUCAAUAAAAUAAAGUUCCUGAGUUUGUUUAAACAGAAAAACUUCAUGGAGGAUGGUAAAUUAGAGUCGCUUUGAUUCGACUUGGAGCACGUGGUUAAUAAAAUGAAUAUUGGGCUAUCUAUAUUUAUAGGGGUCUUCAUAAGCCAUGCUGAUAGUGGCACUUUAAGAAGUCUUGGAUAAAUUAACAGAAGAAAUGCCUUUAUUUUUAGCCUAACAGAUGUUUAGUUUCAGGCUUAUAACCAUCUCUUAAAACAUUAGAAUCACUGGAAUGCUGUAACUACCCAAGAAUUUUGCCAGUCUAGCAAAGUCUUUAAGAUAAAGCUAGAAUAACAGAAAAUAGGGUAUUUCUGUCAAGACAUUCUGUAUCUGUAAAACUCUUGGUCACAAAUUACGGUUUCCUGAAAAUCUAUAUUCUCCACUUGGGUUUUUAGGUCAAAUAGUUACACCUUUGGUUAUAUAAAUAAUACAAAUUACCUGAGUUCUGUCAAGUUUUUUUAGUUAUAUUUAUAUUAUCUUUAUUUUAUCAGCACCAUGUUCUAACCAACUGAGCUAAGUGGCUUAAUAUUACCUUACUUUAAAUAAAAUGAUUGUAGAAUUUGGAGUCUUUGUGGCCAAAUUCUGAAGCUUUCACUCUCUUUGAUACUGGACAGGAUUUACUCCAAGAUUUAGUUUCCUGUCUAGAAAGUGAUGGCAACACUUAGCACAUAGCUCUAUUGUGAGCAUCAAGUACGAGCUAUUAUAUAAGGAGCCUGUCUAGCACAUGGUACAGGGUAGUUCCUGAGUCACUGUGCUUGGCUGUAAAAUUUGUGUUGGGUAAUUCUUAUCAUUUAAAUACGCCUUCUUACAAUAUUCUGCUGGAGGCAUUUACUCCAAAAGUGUAAUGAUUUCUAAUCAUUUACUUUGUGGGGACAUCAAAAUCUCCUGUCAGAUUGGUCUGGUCCACAUGAGCCAACCACUCAAAAUGUUACGUGGGUUGCAUUUUC
rnacentral:lncRNA from 1 species